CCAAAAUUUAACCCGGUUCGAUUUAAUGGGGGGGGAGGGGCGGGUUUAGCGCUGUGCCCAUCCCCCCCUCCCCCACCGCGACCCCUCCCCGAAAUGUUUUUAUGGGGGUGGGUGGGGGGAGGGGGUGAAAAGACCCCCCAAAACCCCCAGGCCCCGCCCCCACCCCCUAAAAUUCAGCCCGGUUUCAUUUAUGGGGGGGGGGAGGGGCGGUUUUAGCGCUGUUCCCAUCCCCCCCUCCCCCACCGCGACCCCUCCCCGAAAUCCCAAAUUGUUUUUUGGGGAGGGGGAGGGGCACAGAUCCCACUGCGGCCGGCGGACAUGGAGGGGUCUUUACUGUGGGGGGAGGGGCGGGACGCCCCCCCCAGGGAGAUUUUGGGGUCGUUUUCCCCAAUUUUUGUCCCCCCCCGGUGACACCGGAGGGGUCCCGAGCAGCGGAGCGGGGGAGGGGAGGGGUCAGCCGAGGGUCCGGGAUGGAUUUUGGGGGGGCUGGAAUGGAUCCUGGAGGUCUGGAAUGGAUUCAGGAUGGUCCGGAAUGGAUUCCCUGGGUCAGGAAUGGAUUCCAAAGGUCCGGAAUGGAUUCAGGGUGGUCCGGAAUGGAUUCUGGAGGUCUGGAAUGGAUUUGGGAGGUCUGGAAUGGAUUCAAGGUGGUCCAGAAUGGAUUUUAGGGGGUCCAGAAUGGAUUCCAAAGGUCCGGAAUGGAUUCGGGGUGGUCCGGAAUGGAUUCCCUGGGUCAGGAAUGGAUUCCAAAGGUCCGGAAUGGAUUUGGGAGGUCUGGAAUGGAUUUGGGGUGUCCGGAAUGGAUUCAGGGUGGUCCGGAAUGGAUUUUUGGGGGUCCGGAAUGGAUCGGGGGGGCUGGAACAGAUCUGGGGGUCCCGGGCCCCCCCAAACCGCGGGCACGGAAACGGCCCCGAGUCCUUUCCCCUCCUGCCCCACCGGCCCGGGGGGGCCCAGUCCCGGUUCCGGAGUUUUCUUGGUCCCAGUUCCAGUUCUGGAGUUUCCCCAGUCCCGCUUCCAGUCCCGGUUCCGGUUCCAGUCCCGGUUCCGGUUCCAGUCCUGGUUCUGGCUGUGUCCCAGUCCCAGUCCCAGUUCCAGAGUUUUCCUGGUCCCAGUCCAGGUCCCAGUUCCGGUUCCGGAUUUUCCCUGGUCCCGGUUCCAGUCCUGGUUCUGGUUCUUUCCCAGUCCUGGUUCCGGUUCCAGUUCCGGUUCCGGAUUUUCCCAUUUCCGGUCCGUUCAGCCCAGGUGCAGCCGCUGGUGCCGGAUGAGGGCGGAGCUUCCCCCGAAGCCCCUCCCACAAUCCGCGCAGGUGAGGGGCGUGGCACCGACCUCAGGUGUGUCACAGGUGAGGGGCGUGUCACAGGUGAGGGGCGUGUCCCCCAUGUGGGGCGUGUCCCAGCGCAGGGGCGUGGCCGGGGCGUGGCCGCUCAGGUGCGCCAGGAGGGCGUGUCCCCGCCCCAGCCCCGCCCCGCAGCGGCCGCAGGUGUGCCCGGGCGCCGCCUUCCUCCUCCUCCUCCUCCUCCGGCGGCCCUCGGGCUCCUCCCCGUGGGCGUGGCGGUGCUUCAGGAGGGCGGAGCUGUAGCGGAAGCCCCGCCCACACUCGGCACAGGUGAGGGGGCUCAGGUGAGCGCCCCGCCCCCGCUGGCCCCGCCCCCGGCCCCGCCCCGAGCACCGCCCCGGGGGGCGUGGCCGCUGCGGGGGCGUGGCCGGCGGGGGGGCGUGGCCGAACCCGCCCAGGUGCGCGCGGCGGCCCAGGUGAGCGCGGAGGCCACGCCCCCGGCGGGAGCCACGCCCACCCGGAGGGGGGAGGGGCGGGGCGGGGGGAGGGGACGGGGAGGGGGAGGGGAGGAGGAGGAGGAGGAGGGAGUCGGGCGUGGGGGGAGGGGCGGAGACUUCGGCCUCGGGGGCGGAGUCAUCGGCGGGGGCGGAGUCAUCGUCGCUCGGGGGGGCGGAGUCUGCGGAGAGCGGAAAUUUGGGGGAAAUUUGGGGAAUUUUGGGUAA
rnacentral:lncRNA from 1 species